GUUAUAUAGUUAAGUGACUAAGCGCAUACGGUGGAUGCCUUGGCAGUCAGAGGCGAUGAAGGACGUAGUAACCUGCGAUAAGCGUUGGUAAGCUGGUAAACAAGCUUUGACCCAACGAUUUCCGAAUGGGGAAACCCAUCUAACAUAAGUUAGAUAUCUUGCACUGAAUACAUA
rnacentral:rRNA from 1 species